rnacentral:misc_RNA from 1 species
GAGCCAUUGUUGACAGAAUUAAUGCUUGGGCGGAGUUUAGGAAAUGGAAUUUCAACGCCUCUGCAAUUAAGAAUGGAAUAACGAAGCUUGUUUCUGAGUGGGCGAAUUACAAAACUAGGGUUUUGGAAGAUUCCUGGAUUGAGAGAGAACAAGCCACUGGAUGAAGGUUUGAAGGAUAUGGCGGCGUGAGUAUGCAUUCAGAAAAUUCUCAGUCCCUCCCUGCUUAAAGGGAAGGCAAGCCAAAUCAAUGGAGGAUUGGAUAAUGGAUUUUAAUCUUUUAUUUAUUUAUUCAAAGAAGAAGGCA